rnacentral:rRNA from 1 species
UACGUAGGGGGCAAGCGUUGUCCGGAUUUACUGGGCGUAAAGCGCGUGUAGGCGGUUGAGUUAGUCUGCUGUGAAAUCUCCGGGCUUAACCUGGAGGGGUCGGUGGAAACUGCUCGACUUGAGGACGGUAGAGGGGGGUGGAAUUCCCGGUGUAGUGGUGAAAUGCGUAGAGAUCGGAAAGAACACCAACGGCGAAAGCACUCUGCUGGGCCGACACUGACACUGAGAGACGAAAGCUAGGGGGGCGAAUGGG